rnacentral:rRNA from 1 species
GACGAACGCUGGCGGCGUGCUUAACACAUGCAAGUCGAACGAAGUGGCGAACGGGUGAGUAACGCGUAAUCAACCUGCCCUUCAGAGGGGGACAACAGUUGGAAACGACUGCUAAUACCGCAUACUGAAGGAGGGGAUUGCGUCGGAUUGGCUAGUUGGAGGGGUAACGGCCCACCAAGGCGAUGAUCAGUAGCCGGUCUGAGAGGAGGAACGGCCAAAAUGGGAAUGGGAAAAGGCCCAGACUCCUAAGGGAGGCAGCAGUGGGGAAUCUUCCGCAAUGGAAGAAAGGCUGACGGAGCAACGCCGGGUGAGUGAUGACGGCCUUCGGGUUGGAAAGCUCUGUUAAUCGGGACGCGGUACCGGAAUAGAAAGCCACGGCUAACUACGUGCCAGCAGCCGCGGUAAUAC